UUUGGGGUGACUGCGUACCUUUUGUAUAAUGGGUCAGCGACUUAUAUUUUGUAGCGAGGUUAACCGAAUAGGGGAGCCGAAGGGAAACCGAGUCUUAACUGGGCGUCUAGUUGCAAGGUAUAGACCCGAAACCCGGUGAUCUAGCCAUGGGCAGGUUGAAGGUUGGGUAACACUAACUGGAGGACCGAACCGACUAAUGUUGAAAAAUUAGCGGAUGACUUGUGGCUGGGGGUGAAAGGCCAAUCAAACCGGGAGAUAGCUGGUUCUCCCCGAAAUCUAUUUAGGUAGAGCCUUGAGCGGACACCUUCGGGGGUAGAGCACUGUUUCGGCUAGGGGUCCAUCCCGGAUUACCAACCCGAUGCAAACUACGAAUACCGAAGAGUGAUACUCAGGAGACACACGGCGGGUGCUAACGUCCGUCGUGGAGAGGGAAACAACCCAGACCGCCAGCUAAGGUCCCAAAGUCUAUAUUAAGUGGGAAACGAAGUGGGAAGGCUUAGACAGCUAGGAUGUUGGCUUAGAAGCAGCCAUCAUUUAAAGAAAGCGUAAUAGCUCACUAGUCGAGUCGGCCUGCGCGGAAGAUGUAACGGGGCUCAAAUAUAGCACCGAAGCUGCGGCAUCAGUAGCAAUACUGUUGGGUAGGGGAGCGUUCUGUAAGCGGAUGAAGGUGAAUCGAGAGGUUUGCUGGACGUAUCAGAAGUGCGAAUGCUGACAUAAGUAACGAUAAAACGGGUGAAAAACCCGUUCGCCGGAAGACCAAGGGUUCCUGUCCAACGUUAAUCGGGGCAGGGUGAGUCGGCCCCUAAGGCGAGGCUGAAAAGCGUAGUCGAUGGGAAACGGGUUAAUAUUCCCGUACUUGGAUAAACUGCGAUGUGGGGACGGAGCAGGUUAGGUUAUCGCACUGUUGGAUAUGUGCGUUUAAGUUGGUAGGUGUGAAGUUUAGGCAAAUCCGGACUUCUUUAACACCGAGAGAUGAUGACGAGGCUCUACGGAGCUGAAGUAACCGAUACCACACUUCCAGGAAAAGCCACUAAGCUUCAGGUUUAUCUAAACCGUACUGAAAACCGACACAGGUGGUCAGGUAGAGAAUACUCAGGCGCUUGAGAGAACUCGGGUGAAGGAACUAGGCAAAAUAGCACCGUAACUUCGGGAGAAGGUGCGCCGGCGUAGAUUGUAGUCCCUAGCGGGCGAAGGUUGAACCGGUCGAAGAUACCAGCUGGCUGCAACUGUUUAUUAAAAACACAGCACUCUGCAAACACGAAAGUGGACGUAUAGGGUGUGAUGCCUGCCCGGUGCUGGAAGGUUAAUUGAUGGUGUAAUCGAAAGAGAAGCUCCUGAUCGAAGCCCCAGUAAACGGCGGCCGUAACUAUAACGGUCCUAAGGUAGCGAAAUUCCUUGUCGGGUAAGUUCCGACCUGCACGAAUGGCAUAAUGAUGGCCAGGCUGUCUCCACCCGAGACUCAGUGAAAUUGAAAUCGCCGUGAAGAUGCGGUGUACCCGCGGCUAGACGGAAAGACCCCGUGAACCUUUACUAUAGCUUGACACUGAACAUUGAAUUUUGAUGUGUAGGAUAGGUGGGAGCCUUUGAAGCAGUCACGCCAGUGAUUGUGGAGGCGUCCUUGAAAUACCACCCUUUAACGUUUGAUGUUCUAACGAAGAUUACGAAACGUGGUCUCGGACAGUGUCUGGUGGGUAGUUUGACUGGGGCGGUCUCCUCCCAAAGAGUAACGGAGGAGCACGAAGGUUUGCUAAUGACGGUCGGACAUCGUCAGGUUAGUGCAAUGGUAUAAGCAAGCUUAACUGCGAGACAGACAAGUCGAGCAGGUACGAAAGUAGGUCAUAGUGAUCCGGUGGUUCUGAAUGGAAGGGCCAUCGCUCAACGGAUAAAAGGUACUCCGGGGAUAACAGGCUGAUACCGCCCAAG
rnacentral:rRNA from 1 species